rnacentral:sRNA from 1 species
GCGGGGCGAAGUGGGGGUGCUUAGUCCGUUGCGGGGGGCGGGGUCGCGUCUCCGCAGCAACAGGGUGCGGCCGGGUGGGGAACGCGGGAGCGGGGCCAGCUCCCAGGAAAGCUGGUCUGCGAGCGGCCCCUGCCCGUCUCCCAGGUCCCUGCGCGACCCCGCCCUUCCCGAGACCCCAGCCGGGCUGCCGCCCGCGUCCCGGAAGCUCCAGCCUGAACCAUGUUUUUCACUUGUGGCCCAAAUGAGGCCAUGGUGGUCUCCGGGUUCUGCCGAAGCCCCCCAGUCAUGGUGGCUGGAGGGCGUGUCUUUGUCCUGCCCUGCAUCCAACAGAUCCAGAGGUAAAAAUCCAGGGGCAGAACAAGGAGAUGUUGGCGGCCGCCUGUCAGAUGUUCCUGGGGAAGACGGAGGCUGAGAUUGCCCACAUUGCCCUGGAGACGUUAGAGGGCCACCAGAGGGCCAUCAUGGCCCACAUGACUGUGGAGGAGAUCUAUAAGGACAGGCAGAAAUUCUCAGAACAGGUUUUCAAAGUGGCCUCCUCAGACCUGGUCAACAUGGGCAUCAGUGUGGUUAGCUACACUCUGAAGGACAUUCACGAUGACCAGGACUAUUUGCACUCUUUGGGGAAGGCUCGAACAGCUCAAGUCCAAAAAGAUGCACGGAUUGGAGAAGCAGAGGCCAAGAGAGAUGCUGGGAUCCGGGAAGCUAAAGCCAAGCAGGAAAAGGUGUCUGCUCAGUACCUGAGUGAGAUCGAGAUGGCCAAGGCACAGAGAGAUUACGAACUGAAGAAGGCCGCCUAUGACAUCGAGGUCAACACCCGCCGAGCACAGGCUGACCUGGCCUAUCAGCUUCAG